NNNNNNNNNNNNNNNNNNNNNNNNNNNNNNNNNNNNNNNNNNNNNNNNNNNNNNNAGGCCUUCAGACCAAGGACCAAGAAGGAGCGGGACUUUCGGCUCCGGCAACUCCUUAUGGAGGCGGCACUUAGCCCGGACGCUCCAUCAGCGCGUCAGGCCUCGGCACCUGGCACCUCGGUGCGCAGUGCCCCGGCGGCACCGACUAUUCCGACCACGCGAGUGGCGUCGGACAAGCCUCCACGGCACCGGACCUCGUCAGCACCGCAAGCACAGCAAGUGCCUCGGCGCCGUUCGUUAUCCCCGGGACAUAAAAAAGCCCAUAAGACGGGGACCUCCGUGCCGAAGACGCCGGCUCCCCCAGUGCCGGGGGUAGAGCCGCGUCCGCCUGUGGAGCACCGGAAACAGGUGCCUCCAGCACCGUCGACUCCGGCUCCGAGGCCGUUGAGUCCGGUGCAGACAGGGUCUCCACUGAGACUGGCGGUGAUACAGUGCCUCCCGUCGACCCCAGAGACCUUCGCGAUGGCGAGAGACUUGAUCGCUCUCACGGAGCCGGCACCGCCGCAACCACCGGCACCGCCGGCACCGUUGACUCGUCCGGUCCAGUCUAGGGGGAAACCUGCCUUGAUGCGCCCUCCAUCGCAGGGGCUGGAACCACGGCACCGGUCCAGGUCCCGAAGCAGGUCCCCACGCCGCUCGCAGUCCCGGCGCCGGAUAUCACCUCGGCACCGGUCGUACUCGCGGCCAAGAUCUUCGUCGCGGCACCGCUGUACGUCUCGGCACCGUUAUGAUCGUCGGCACCGAUCAACAUCGAGACGUAGUUCUCGGCACCGCUACGAUCGACGCUCGACGUCGAGAGGCCGCUCCCGGCACCGGGCCUACUCCAGGUCAUCGUCGAGGUCCAGAUCCGACUCCCGGCACCGGCGAGGUCAUCGGCACCGAUCGCGAUCCCGGCACCGAUCGCCGGCACCGCGUGGAGAUAGAACAUCUCCGGACCGGCACCGUGCGGCACCGCAGCCCACGGGAUUCGUCUCGGCGCACUCGGCACCGCCAUGGCCAUCGAGAUCGGUGUCUCGCUCCUCUGAGGACUUAUCGAGAUCGGCAUACCCCCCUCAGGGGCAAGCCGAGGAGCAGGACAUAGGCCAUUGGCAAGAGGUAGCAGAGGACCCUGCUCAUGGCCCAUCUCACUGGUCGUUCUGGACCCCGUGGGCGUAACACCAGGCGCGACGGGCUCCAAUAACUCCGCCCUCACGCUCGGGCCACUCUGUUAGAAGGGCCCCGGAGUCCACCAGCCCUCGGCCUCCGCCAGGGGGCAUGGAGGCUUCCGUGUCCGCACCACCUGACGUCCUGGACCCAAGCGCAGGUGAUGCUCCGGCCCAGGAGCAGGGAGACCAGGACCCUCCCUUGGAUCCUU
rnacentral:lncRNA from 1 species